rnacentral:lncRNA from 1 species
UUAAACAGGGCCAUACCACCAGAAUCAGUGAGAGCCACAGCAGAGGAAAUCUUGGUGGUAGGAUCUGGGGACGUACCAAACCCGAUGGUGUUAUCAGGUGAGUACUUUCUAGGCCGUCCCCUUUUCUGGAAAACUCAAUGCUAAGAGCAUCUCCAACCAUUGCACCAUUGUACCAAAUUUUGGUGCAAACUUCCUCCAACCAUUGCACCAAAUUUUGGUGCAAAAAAUGGUGUAAUGAAUAGUGUUGCACCAAAUAUGGUGCAAUACUAUUCAUGUUGCACCAUUUUGCACCAAAUGGUGCAAUGUCUUUUUUACCCUUAUUUUUCUUUUUUCAAAGAUAAUGGUUAAGGGUAUUUGUGUCAUUUUCGUUCUAUAAUAAUAAUGAUAAUGAUAAUGAUGAUAAUAAUAAUAAUUACACUAUAAAUUAUAUUAUUAAAGUUUAUUAUUUUUAAUAAUAUAAUCAAUAAUAAUUAAUGUAAUUGUUAAUUUAACGUAAAGUUAAAUUCGUAAAGUUUACGUUUAAAAUUUAAUUUAAUGUAAAGUUUAUAUUAUUAAAGUUUAUUAUUUUUGUAAAUUUAACGUAAUUGUUUAUCAUAAAUUAAUAAUAUAAUUAAUUAUUUUUGUCAAUUUAACAUAAUAUAUGACAUGUGAUAAUAUAGUAAUCAAUAUAUUUGUUAAUUUAAUGAAGUUAUGAUUUAGUAAUAUAUAUAGUUAUAAAAUAAAUAAAUAAAUAAAUAAUAUUUUAAAAUAAAUAUAUUGUCAAAAAUCGAAAGAAUGAAUAAAAUAAUAAAGCACUGUUCAUUUGGUGUAAAUUUUGGUGUAAUGGUUGGAGAAGAAUUUUGGUUUGGUGGAAGAUUUAGUACAAAAUUUGGUGCAAAAUUUGGUGCUGGGUUGGAGAUGGCCUAAACCCUCCAGCCUCCCCGUUGCCACCUGAAGCCAAUUUAUCUUAGUAGUGAUACCCGAUCGGUUGGAUGCAGGGGCAGAAGCCAUGGUGUUAAAAGGGUACAAAUUUUGUUGCUGUAUCAUAGUUGCAGUGGUGGUGGCAAAAUUAUUGUUGCUGAAAAUGGUGUAAGAGUUGUUUGGGUGUUGGGUAUGAGUGUGACCCACAUAGAUGUUUGGGGUUU